rnacentral:lncRNA from 1 species
CAAAACCUUGCUAAAUUCCAAUUUGUCCUCAUUCUUGACAGAAGUAAGGCACAAAACUGAAGCUGUUUUCUUGUGGACAAUCUGGUUUUUAAAAAACAAAUAUCCUUCAUUAUCCAUGAAAAAUUAAUUGAAAAAAUUAUUCUAAGCAUAAGAAAAAGUUCAGAGAAAUCACCGCUCCAAGUCGUGACUUGCCCUUCACAAUGGCAUAAGGAACCUCCAUUUUCCGGCACAAUGCAGGCAACCAAACAACAAGCUCAAUUGGAUCUACAUCAUGUGCAAUAACGACCAGCUGGGCCUUGUUCUACACGCAUCAAGAAAAAAACAAUAUUACCUAGACAAGAACACAAAAAAUUGGCCUUGCAAUUUCUCCCCACGGAUCCCAUAAAAGGUUGAAAGGAAGGUGUGUGUGUGUGUAAACAGAGGGAUGAGAAUCAAUGUGUAAACCAGCCAAAUAAUUGACAGAAAUGAGAGGAAAGAGGUUAAGAGAUGAAACAAAGCAAUCAAUUCAGAAGUCAUCUUCUCCUAUAAAACCUUAAUUACAACAGAACUCCCAAAUAGGUCAAUUAGAAAAGGUACACAAUGCACCAGAACAUAUAUUAUCACUUUAUUACCCAAUUAGCAGCAGAGAUAAUAAUAAUAAAAAAAAAACUGUAGAUGCUAACAUCAAUACCUGCUCAAUGAGGUAAGUAACAUGGUUAAGACCAUAUUUAAUAACAAUAGGCUUCUUUGUUUCCACAGUCUUCCCCUCAGCUUCAGCUUGUGCUCUCUUAAGAAGCCUUUCCUUCUUAGCAGCCUUGUCCUCAGGUCUAUAUUUUAGGAACAACUUGAAAAGUUGCGUAGCUGUAACACAAAAUGACGAAAACAAAACAACAAAUAUUAUCUGCAGCUUCAGUAAUUUAAAAAAAUGCAUCAAAGCACUACAAUAUCUAUAAGAAUAAUUGGCGUUACAUUUAAGCACCAACAUCCAUGAUCCUGGGAGCCAAAGUUUGUUAACUUUUCUAGAUUGGGGAUGGAAGAUUUACCGAGGUUCUUGUCAAGUGUUUUUGUGAACUGGUUAACAGCAGGAGGGACCUUCAAACGCUGUUUCAGAAUCCUUCUUUGCCUCUGAAUACGAACAACAUGUGGCCACUUGACAAAUCUAGUCAAAUCCUUCUUUGGUGGAAGUGCACCACCAAUUCCAAACUGCUUUGGACGUUUUUCAAACAAAGGGUUCACUACCUUUUCCUGUAAUUAAUCAACAUCGGUGCACUAAACCUUUAGUUGCAAAGGAGCAAAGUAUAAACCCCAACUGUCAAUAAUGAAGCAGAAUUAUAAUAAUCACAUGCAAGUUCUAUGAAUUGAGUAUAAAUCAUAAUCUCUUAGCAUUUGUAUUCUCGACUUUUAGAAGUAUAUGAUUGCAUGAGAUUAAGGGGAUAGUUGCAGGAAAAAAUGGUUGGCUCUAGCUGGCUACAAAUUCAAAAUGGAAAUAAACGACGACAACCACAGAAGAGAGAAUGAGGGAGAGAGGGAGAUCACGCACAGGUUUCUUCUUUGCUGCCAGUGGGCCCUUCACACCUCUUUUGGGAGCCUGUAGUAAACAUAAAAAUAAGCCAACGAAUCAAAAAAAGGGAAAGAAACAAAGAACAUUAUUCCAAAAUAUGCAUGUCAAGAACAGAGCUGAUCAAAACAAUGGGUAAAAAUACCAUGUUUUUGGUCUUUUCCACCAAUAUAUACCCUGUAUGGUGCUUAUAAAUGCAACAUUUCUACACUAUAGCCUGAAAAAGUCCUCCAUCAUCCACCAAUAUAUACACUGUACGGUGCUUAUAAAUGCAACAUUUCUACACUAUAGCCUCAAAAAGUCCAUCAUCCACCAAUUUCCAAACCAUAUCACAUAGCCUCACAGCAGAGAUAUCAAAAAUAACAAAAUGCAAUGAAACUUCAAUUCAUACAACAAGAAGUGCAGCUAUUAACUAACACCCCAAUAAAAACAAACCAGCAGAAUCUCCAAAAAAAAUUUAACUCAAGAAAGUUUAAGUAUUUUGGGUACUUUUAAUACUUUUUUUUUCCAAUAAGUUUUCUGCCUUACCACACACAGUACAAAAAAAAACACUAGAAAGACUAAGACUGAAAUCUUAUUCACAUAGAGAAGUAAGAUCAUACACCGCCAUCCCAACAAAAAUAAAAGCAUCGGCGUAAAAAAAAAGAAGUACAAUUUUACACCAGAAAAUCAUCAGUUAAGCUUUUUGAGCACAAGAUAGACAACGUUGCAAUAGAAAAACAAAAGGGGCAUUAAAGAUGAGUGAUAUAUGUUACCAUCUAGAAGAGGAGACUUGCAGAUCGAAAACCUGAACGUGUUUGAGAUGAAAAUGGGUAGGGGCAGAAGAGCAGCAAAAACGGCUGCUUUAGUAGGGUUUGCCCAAACCCUAAAUUGUUCUUUCAGUUUACAUUUUGGUCCCUUCAUUAUGCUAAUUGGUUUAUUUUACUUCUACUUUAUCUUUAUUUUAUUUAUUAAGCCCUCCCUUCUUCUUAAAAUUUGAUCAAUUAUCAAAUUUUCCCAAUUCCUAAAAUCUUAAAAUUUGUCCAAAUGGAACAUCUUACAAAUUAUUUAUUUAACGAGAUAAAAUCUUCUACUUUCAAAUUAUAUCUCUUCUAAAAAAAAUAGAAUAUAUAUAUAUAUAUCAAACUAAAAAUUAUAUUUAAAGAGAAAAUUCUCUUUGAAAAAAUAAUAAUAAAUAUUUUAGUGUUUUUUUUAUGAAUCAAACAUUGCAUCACGACAAAAUGUCAGCAUUGAUUAUUUUUUUCAAAUAUAUUAUUGGUUUGUUUGUUGAUGUUAUAUACCCUUUAACAGUAUAAAAGUUUCAAGUUUUUUUAUCCUUAGCAUUAGACUUUUAUUUUGAAGGUUUUAAUCUUUUUAUGGUUUUUUCCAAUUUAAUAUUUAUCUAAUUUUUAAAAUAUUUUAUAUUUUUCUCUUUAUUUUUCAAUGUAAACUAAAGAUAAAUCUUAACUUUGUAUCUUAUUUUUAGAUGUUAAUUAGACAUUUAUAUUUCUCCUUACAUCGCUUUUGAUUUUUCGCAACUGUUACUUAUAUGUGUUUUUAUACUGUAUAUGAAUUUUAUUUAAAUUGUGUUUGCUAAUUUCUCUUUGACCUAUUAACUAAUCUAGUAUUUGUUUUUUAUUCUAAUCUCGUGGUUUAGUGCUUUGACUAGCUAUGUAACCCGCGCUCCGUCGCGGGUUAAAUAAAAAAAAAUUUAAAAGAAGUUCCUAAAAAAAAGAGGGUGUUUUGUCUAUUUUUUUAGUUUUUAGUUUUUUAACUUGUCGUGUCACUUUAUUUUGUAUCUAAACCAUCUGAAAAAUAUAUAAAAAAGAAGGGUUUAGGGUAGGAGAGAAAACACAUUUGAAAAAAAAAAGUUCCUUUCGGGUUUUUGCCGGAUCACCUGAGUUUUGGACUGAUCCGAUAGGUCAACUAGUUUACUCCGGGUCAAUUGCAGGCACAGAUUUUGAAUGAAAGAGACUCACCUAACGCUGCUGUGCUUGACCUACUAGCAAGACCCAAAGCGUUGGGUUCUGCUUUGGGCAUGACCCAAAUUGUUGGGUCCUGGUUAACAAAGAGUCCAAAGAUGUUGGGUCCUAGUGACAGAAGGGCCCAAUUGGACGUUGGGUCACGGUGGUAGACAAGGCCCAAAGCUAUUAUGUCCAGUGGCAGCAAGGCCCAAUUAGACGUUGGGUCAUGGUGAGGUGGGAGGCAGAGCCCAAAGCUGUUGAGUCUUGGUUCCUACUGGGGGCAGGACCUAAUGUUGAUGGGUCCUAUUAGCACUGAUGGCCUACUCCAAGCAGGACCAAACACUGUUGGGUCCUGUUGGGGGCAAGAUCUAACGCUGAUGGGUCCUAGUCGCAACAUGACCUAAAAUUAAUGGGUCUACUUCCAGCAGCACCCAACUCAAAUGGGUCUUACUCUCAGCCGAAUCCAAAUCUAUUUUGGGUCCUACUGGGGGAAGCUUUGGGUCCUGCUUCCACAAGAAUCCAAUGACGUUAGGUCAUGCUGGAUCCAUUAGAGUUGGGUCCUCCCUAGCAGGACCCAAGCAAAUUGCUACAAUGAAUGUCCGAUGGAAGAAAAAGAAAAGGAGAAGUUGCUCGACAAGCAGUUAUUAAGCAAAGCAUUAGCUUGGUAUCAAAUCCCAAGCUAAUAAAAUUAGAAUGCAUUUAAAAAUACUUAAAUUUAGAAUGCAUUUAAAAAUGCUUAAAUACAACCUUGAUAGAGGUAUCUAACCUUCCUUCCUUAUACAUGGAAAUCGAAUCCUAUUUUGUCUUUUUUUUGGAUAAAAAUGAUAGAUGAGAAUUUUUUUUCAUUUGAGACAAUAAAAUCUUAAUAAGACUCUGAAUUUUAUUCACUAAUGUUGUAAAUUUAAAAUAUCUUCUAUUACCCAAAAUUAAAUUAUAUUGGGUAAUAUUAUUCUAAUAUUAUAUAAUAUUAUGCCAUACAUUGGCGAGAAUAUUAUUUUGAUCUUUGUAUAUAUAUAAUGAAGAGAAAGUCAUCAUCGGUUCUCCAAAUCCAGCCCUCAACUUAUUAUUAUUCAUACCUAUCUACAAAAUUUAAUGGGCAAAAGAAUUACACAAUGCAACCGAGGAUACCAUGUGUGUGCAUGGCAUCUUUGUUCAAAUUUAUUAAUUUGUGUCUAAUUGAUUUUCUGGAUAAUCCAGUGUACAAAAAAAAAAUCAGUAAGAUAAACUAAAAAAAAUUUGGUUCCUUAUUUUUCUUCCUUUGUAUUUUUGAUCCCCUUAUCCAAAUUUUUUUGUUUUUCUUAUUUUUUUGUAUUUUGGUAUUUUUGAAAAAAGUAAUGUCAAUGUCAACAAUGAUUUUAAACUAAAAAUAUCAAAAACGACACAAAUAUAUCAAAAAUAUAUAUAUUUUUGGAUUCUUUGUUUUUGUUUUUGCUAUUCUUUUUGGAUUUUUCAAAAAAGUAAGAAAAAAGGACAAAAAAUCGGGUUAUAAGACUACUUGUCAAUUGAUAAGCACUAAUAUGUUAGUUCUAGAUAUCUCUCAUACCCCAAUUUAUAAGAACAACUCCAUUUCAUAAAGAAAAAAACAUAAUAUAUAUCAGCUGCAACAACUCUAAUUAAUAUCGAGUAUUAAUAAAGCAUUGACCAGGAACAUUUAGGAACAAUGUUUUAAUGCAAUAAAAAUCCCAUAAUUAUAAUAACUUUAUAAUUUUAUUUGCAAAAUAUUUUUGUUCCAAGAACUUUAUCUUUAAUCUACAUUUAUUAAUCAAAUAUUAUAUUUAUUAAUAAAAUUGUUGAUGAUUAUUAAAAAUAAAUAAGUCUUUAUUAAUAAAUUAAAUAUAUUUACAUGAAUAACGUCAAUAUCAAGUGUAACCAACUGAUUGACUACAAGGUAUAUACACUAAUUUUUUACCAUAACAAACUCUAUAGAUCUAGGUCUAAUUUGGUUUUGAAUCCCACAACUAUUUAGAACCUGCUACCAAAUACUUUUGAUCAUAGUUGCAAUCAAUAGACAAAUGGUAUCUUGAUCUAUUUUAUUGUAUUGCUAUACAACAUGAAGGAUCAAUUUAUUAGUCAACAAUGAGAUAAAUCCAAGUUUAAGAAUAUACAAGGACUCCCAUGGUAUUUUAAACUAAUAUACAUUGUGCACCUUAUUCCUCAAAGCUUCCUACACGAAUUUGAUAAAGAACAAGCCACUUGAAGAAAAUUCUCAGAUAUAUGAGGUUGGAGACAAAUCACACCAUCUAAAGUAGCUUGAAUGUUGAUCAAGUCAUUAGACCUGGUAUAGGUCAAUUCCAAGAUGAGCAGUUUGAGUAAUGUUUUUUUUUUAUUAUGAUUUAAUAAGUCAUGGAUUUUCAUUUUGAAGCAUGCAACUCAUAAGAGUAAAAAAACUAGACUAUUAGGUUUGUGAGUCAAUUCUUAUAUACAAGUCAUCAUUUAAUUCUCAAUCAAUGUGAUAUUUUCUAAUAAUCUCUUCUUUAUAUGUGAGUUUUAUCCAUAUUAAAUUUUUAAUAAAAACAUUUUCAAUGUAACAAGAAAUUUCAUGUUACUCAUAAGAGUAAUUAUUAGUAGUUUUUUCCAAUGAAAGAAAGCAUUAGAAUAGAGAAAAAGGAGAAAGAAAAUUAGUUUUUUUUUAAAAAAAAAGACUAAGGUAAGAAUAUUCAAGUCAAAUCACUUGAUUUUAAUUUUUUAUUUCGUACCAGUCUCUAUCUCUAUUUUUAAAAUGAGUAUAAGGAGUAACAAUUGGUAAUUAUUAUAUUCUAUUUAUUUGCUGAAAAAUAGUUUUAAUUAAAAGUGAAUUUCUGAAAAGUUGAUUUUUUUAAUGUUUGACAAUGUUAUAGAAAAUAAGUUGAAAAUAUUUUUCAGUGUUUGGUUAUACUUUAAAAAAUAAGUUGGAAAAUCACUUUUUUUUAAAGUUUAUCAAAAGAAUGAAGAUCGAGAAUGAUUUAUGAAAAAGUUGAAGGAAGAUGAAAUUGAAAAAAAAUUAUAAUUUUAAAAAUUGUUUCAGAUAAAACAAAUAGUAAUAAAAAAAAUAUAGACUGAAUUUAAUGAACAAACAAAUUGAAAAGCUAGUUUAAAAAUUUGAAGGGCUAGGUAUGGAAAUUGAAGGGGUGAGAAAAAAAAAGGGGGAAAAAAGGUCACCCACACCAAAUUAGAAAUUGGUACGCUGUACGCGCCGCCUAGAAAGGGAGGGGCCACUGAGACAAUUCUAACUACAUCAAGAAAGGUUGCCUUUAGACACCGUAUGUGGUAUCACAUGCUGGCGCGACCAAUGCAUGUGUCAACCACUUUUUAUUUUAAAAUUAUAUUUUAUGUUUAUCAAAAUACCAAAUUUUCUUUCAGUCAACUUGAUUAUUACUAAAAAACCAAAAUAAAAAUUGGAAACCUUUGAACCCCAGUUUCAUAAAACUUUGAUUUUAAUUGUAAUUUUCAUUUUACUUUACUUUUUUUUUUUUGUAAAAGAUUCAAAAGGAGUUUUCUAGAGUUGAGAGAAGGAAAACACUUUUCUUUGGAAAGACUUAAGCUUUUCCUUCAACUCGAAACCACUUUCUAUUGACUAACUCUCUUAAAGUAAAACAAAUAUGGAAAAUUUUGGAAAAUGAUUUAUAGGAAAAUGUUAUUCAUGAAACAAACGCUCGUGUGAGAUCCACAACUCAAGUAUCAGGUGUUAUCAAGAAUUUACUGCUCUUGCAAGAGCUUGCUAACUAGGAGUGUACAUGUCCUCCUUAGCUAGCAGCCAUUACAAAUCUCAAGUACAAUUACAAAAAUAAAAAACUAAAGGUUAUAGGAUAUUCACUAUGUAGGUAAAGAGAAAACACUAUAGUUUGUAAUAGUGUUCCAUAAUAUUUUCUUUCUUUAUUUUUUUAGAUCUUUGGAUUUUUUUUCAUGUUGGUCCCUCAAUUUAUUUUUUUUAUUUGUUCCUUUGACGUUGUGUUUAUUUUGGAUUAGGCUUGGUGAUUUGUUUCGGCUACCUAGAAUAUAGCUCAUGGUGUUCGAAAAAAAUUACAGAACUCGAUGGAUACUUGGUUUGACAAAAUUUAAUGAGAUUUUAUUGAUUUAAAACAAUUAAAGAUUUUGGAAUUGAAUUUGAAGAUCGAACAAAUAUACAUCCCUUUUUUAGCUACUGCCGUAAGGGGUUGAAUUGAACAAACAAGGAUACAUGUUCAUCCCAUUUGUUUUUUUUUUAUCACUUGAUUUAUUUGGUUUUCAAUUUGAUCCUCUAGAAUUGAGUUUAUAUGAGAUUGGACUUAAUAGUUUGUUUUGGUUGCCUAUAUAUGGGGAUUUUACGGCGUGUAAGAAAAAUCUUGGUGAGUGGUGGAUGCUCAAUUUUAUAAAAUAAAAUUCAAUUUCACUCAUUUAAAUCAAUUAGCGAUUGAGAGACCAUAAUUGACGUUGAAACAAAAGCAGGGACAAAAAUCAUCAGGAAAUAAGGAAUGCUUGGGGCAUGUGUUGCACGGGCCAAUAUGUGAAGAGGUUUGUCGUGCUUUGGAGGUGCACGUGGCCUUCUUUGAUCACCAAAGGUGGCAUUCUGCCAUGUCCUUCAAAGCCUCUUGAAGAGGGCUACUUGUUGAUGUGGCGCAUAGUCACUGAUUAGUGGUAGUGUGUUGCCAACGUUCCACUCUUCUUUUUUCUCUCUCUUAUCUUUCUCUUCUACUCGGGUUUUGUGCAAUGUUUUUUCUCUCUCUUAAUUCUGGUUCUCAUUUUUUUUCAUUUGUGUCUUUUCUAUUCUUUUUAUGGGAAAAUCUCGAUUUCAUGACCCGGGUUGCAGGUUUGGAAGGUUAACCCAUGUUGACUUCAGUCUUUUCUGUUUGGGUCAUUUUUAUUAUUUCUUUUUUCAAGUUCAUCCUUGAAUAUUUGGUCGUUUGGAAUUUAUUUUUAAUUUAUUUUUAUGUUUUUCUUUUUAUAGAGUUAUCAUGGUCACAUGAUUCAGAUCAUGAAUUUUGCAAGAUAAUUAAGGUUAACUCGAGUCAUUUCUUUUGUUAAUUUUUUUAGAUUAAUUGUUUUUCAAUUUCACCAGUUGGCAUUGUGUUGAUUUGGAAAUUGGGCUUCACAAUCCUUUUCAGUCUGUUUUCUACAAGUUUAUCUUGUGGUUCUCGAGUCUGGCAGGUGUACCCGAGUUGACUCGAGUCACCUUUUUUUUUUAUUUUUUCUAAUUUAAUAUUUUCUUUCUCGAUUUAUUUCUUUGACAUUGAGUUGAUUUGGAAUUAGGUUUAAUAUUUUUUUUUCUUUAGGUGAUUUUUUGAUUGAAUUAUUUUUUUGAAUUUCAUCCUUUAUUAUUUGACUAAUUAGAAAUUGAGCGUCAGUCUUUUUUUUCAACUUGCUUUUUAUAGGAAAAUCCUAAUUUAAUGACCUAGGUCGCGGGCUCGGAAGAUUGAGCUAGGUUGACUUGGGGCGUUUCUUCUUGGGGUCUUUUUUAAUUAUUAUUAUUUUUUUCAAUUUCAUCCUUGAAUAUUUUGUUGGUUGAGAAUUGAAUUUUUUAUUUUUUUAUUUUAUUUCUAUGAGAUUAUUACAGUCUCAUCACUCGGGUUGUAAGUUUUGCAAGUUAACUAGGGUUGACUCGAAUAAUUUCUUUUGUCAAUGUUUUUAGAUUUUUUUUUUUCAGAAUUGUGUUGACUUGAGAAUUGGGCUUCGCAAUCCUUUUUAGUUUUUUUUUUUUAUUUUAUUUUAUCCUUGAUCCUUUUUUCUAGUUCAUUUUUUUUUAAAUUUUUUUUAUUCCGAUCUCAUAUUGCGAGUGGCGGGUUAGUAGAGUAAACUCGGGUUGACUCGAGUUUUUUUCUUCAAGUUUCUUUUCUGAAAUUGAUUUUUUUCAAUUUUAUUUUUUGAAAUUAAGUUAUUAGCCCUUGAGUAUUGUGAUUUUUGUUACUUUUCUUUCUACGAGGAUAUCUUAAUUUCAUAUCUUAAGUUACGUGCUAGACAAGUUAACACGAGUUGAUUUAGGUUAUUAUUUCUUGAAUAUAUAUUUUUUAUGUCAGGAAAAAUUUAACUUAACAUGCAGUAUAGUGGGGACAAAAAGAUCUAGUUGUCUUUUUACUCCUUUUAGUCAAUGACAAUUAUUAGCUCUAGAAAUACUUGUGCACUCUGUUGUUGGGAGAUUUGCAUUAUGAAAUCACUUGGUCACACAUAAAUCUGCAUCCGUGAGGACUCUCAUAUAUACAAUGUGCUUCACUUUCAACCUAAAAAAAUUAAAUAAUUUGGUUCUUGUUUUUCUUCUUCUUGUUCUCAACUAAUAGACUUCCAAAUCAUAAUUGCUUGCUUGUUUGGAACCAAAUUAUAUAUAAAAUUAAAUUUAAUUUCAUAUAUAAUUUAAAUUUAAUUAAUAAUCUAUUAUAAUUUUUAUGUUUGAAAUAAAAUACUAAAUCACAUAAUUAAAUUCAAUUCUACUAUUUAAAAUACAUGUGUAAUUAAAUUGAAUUAACAAUCUUGAUUGUUUUGCUUUUAAUUCAGAAAUCAUUUCUUCUUAUUACAAAAAAAAUAUUUCUAUUUGUUAAUGUGAAAGUAGAAUCCAUAACUUUUUUUUAUGAUAAAUCAUAAUGCAUGCAUGAUAUGAUAAAGACAACAAGCAAUAUUAACAUGCAUGACAUAGAAAACAUUAGGAACAAAUGAUUAUUAUUGACAACAUCAUAUUACUUUUUAAGUAAUAAAGAUAUUUUCAUGCCAAUUUUCAUAUAAUUCUCACGGAAUAAAACUAUUUCAUCUACUUUUAAAUAAAACAUAUAUAAUUAACAAUAAUAAAAAUUCAUAUAGUUCUAUUCUAAUAUCUCUUUUUUGUUGAACUUUAAGAUGGUGAUUUUGCUAAUUCUUGUUGACAGUUCCUGUUUCCUUGACAAUAUUUCUGGAAAAAAGCCACCCGAAAAACUUAACCUAUGAAAAUGUGGCUGACAUUAUGAUUUAACUGUUUCCCUCACACAUGGGCCUUCGCAAAAAGAAGUCAUCAGCGUGGCUUAACGUGAUCUAAACCGGGGACCCAUGCAUUGAGUGAGAGGGUAGAUGAAAAAGGUGAACGUUUUGUGUUUGAAAAGGUAUUUUUAAUUUGAAAUUACUGGGAAAAAACUACUUAGAAAACAUUCUUUCCAUAAAAACUAUAAAUGUUACUCAUGAUAAUAUUUUAACUACCCAAUCAAUACAAAACUUGUUCACAACAACAAACAGAGCAAUUGCAGGGGAAAAAGAAGAGCUAAAAUCAUCCACGGAAGUUCCUUUCUGACUAAAACUUAUCUCCAAUAGCUUGCUAGAAGAAGCUCAAGACAUUCUUUGGGCAGCCUCCUUGGCUAUGACUCUCUCCUUAGCUUUGGUCUUAGCCAGAGAUUUGGAACCCAUGAUGCCACCGCCCCAUUUCUUUCGGUGCUCAUCAAACUUAUCAUUGAAGUUAGCCUGCAGUUAAAGGGAACAAAAGUGAAAUAUGCAAAGAAGAAUGAAGUUCAAAAGAGUGGCCAACAAAUUAUAGAAUAUCAAAUCAAAGAAAGAAACCACCUCAAUCAAUAAACCACACAAGCAUCAAAAGCAAUGCUGUUAGAACAAACAAGUUCACUGUGGGAUAAGCAAAUCAAGGACCAGUUGCCUCUCCUUGUGACAUAAAGCUAAUCUUCUAGGAGGAUUACAAAUAUGAAAUUGAAACACCUUUUUUCUCCUUUGGGAUGCACUUUAGAGAUAUCACAUAUAAAGUGCAAAAACAUGGUAGUAAUAUUACCUUGACUGCCUCCAAAACCUUGCUAAAUUCCAAUUUAUCCUCAUUCUUCACUGAUGUAAGGCACAAAACUGAUGCUGUUUUCUUGUGGACAAUCUGUUUUUUAAACAUACAAGUCAUAAAGAUAGUACCGGAGGAUCCAAUUUCCAAAAAAAUCAAUGGUUCUUUUAAUGCAUAGAAAAGGUGUAGAGAAAUCACCGCUCCAAGACGUGACUUGCCCUUCACGAUUGCAUAAGGAACCUCCAUUUUCCGGCACAAUGCAGGCAACCAAACAACAAGCUCAAUUGGAUCAACAUCAUGUGCGAUAACCACCAGCUGGGCCUUGUUCUAUAUGAAUCAAGUAGAGUCUUAGGAAAAAGAUAAGAUAACCUAUACAAAAACACAUCAAUCUGCCAUGCAUGUUCACCAUCCAAGUCAGAUGACAACAUGAAACAAACAAAAAAAAAUGUUGAAAGGAAGGCACCCAAAAAAUAAACGAGGGAGAUAAAAAAUCAAUGUGCAGCAAAAUCAGCCAAGUAACUGAAGAAAUGAGAGGAAAGAGAGUGAGAGAAGAAAAGGUAGAAAACCAAAUUGAAAGCCAUCUUCUCCUACACAAUCAUGAUUAUAACACAACUCCCAUAUAGGUCAAUCAAACUAGCUAAACAAAUCACCAAAUCAUCCAUUACCUAAAUAUUUACAUAGUUAAUCAAGAAAGCCCUAGAAAUCAACAUCUGUACCUGCUCAAUGAGGUAAGUAACAUGGUUAAGACCAUAUUUAAUAACAAUAGGCUUCUUUGUUUCCACAGUCUUCCCCUCAGCUUCAGCUUGUGCUCUCUUAAGAAGCCUUUCCUUCUUAGCAGCCUUGUCCUCAGGUCUAUAUUUUAGGAACAACUUGAAAAGUUGUGUAGC